rnacentral:lncRNA from 1 species
GCAGCUCGCUGCGCCCGCCGUCCGAGCAGGCACACGUCCCUUAUCCCGCCUUCUGCUGCGGCCGCCCACUCGCUUCGCCAAAUGCAGGCUGUCGCCCUCCCGGAGGAGAUCUGUUGGCUCCUGGAAGGUAACUAACUCCUGGUUCAGUGCCAGACCUCUGUCCUGACCCAUCCCGUCCGGGAGGGCCUCUCAGUGCUGGGCUGAAGGCAAGAAAGGAGACACUAGGGUACUAGUUCUUUAGCCUGGUCACUUACCUACUAUAAGUUCCAGGCUUCCAGAGUCCUUAAUCCCCCAAUUGUCCCCAAAGCCCUAGCCUCUCUCUCAUCCUCAAGGUCCCCACCUCUCCCUUGAGUUACAUAUUUUCUGUUCCUUCUAGGCAUCUGUAUCACUUCCAGAUGCAUCAACACUUCCAGGUCUCUAAGGUCUUACGGGUCAGUUCAUGGCCUCCCUUGACACCUUGCUUGGUCUUGAACCUGUCACCCCGGGAAAUCCCUGAGGUGUGCAGUGAUUAGGUCUCAUCCUUCCCAGUCCUGACUCCUCACCUUGUGGAAGACCCACACCUUUCUGGGUAGACAUCUCCUAGGCACACAGUAGGGCUCUGGAGAUUUAUGGUCUUUGGGCCAAGCCUGGUGGUUAGGGGACGUCUUAUAAGUGUGAGAGUCAUUUCCUAACCUGAAGACUUCUAGGGGUGUCAUAAACCUCAGAGUAUGGUGUCCUUCCCUUCCCUAAGUGUCCUGUUGUGAUGGUUUCACCUUUAAAACUGUCCUUUACAGUUAAGGUCACACUUUCCGACACUCAACAUACACUCCGAAGAGACUUCCCUGAUGGACGGUAUCUUGUGCUUGGCUCCCAUGGUGAAAAUCAGUUUUACUCAUUUUCCUAUGACUGCCCUUCCCUUCCUGGGAGGACAGAAACCUGGAAUCUGCAGUUGCAUAAGGGUCUCAAGAGGAAACCGCUCAGAAUUAAGCCUUUCGGCAUCCAGGCGACACAUCUGACACAUCGUUAACAGAUGGCCUGCUUUGGGCAGGUCAUGAUUUUGGCAAGCUGCAUUCUUUCCAGUUUCUCUCAAUUUAAUUGGUUUUAUAUCUCCAUUACCUUGUUAUCUUGGGUAUAAAUGCCUCCUAAUCAAGGAUUUGGCCAGUGCUUUUGGAUUCUGUCUGUAGCCCUGUUUCUAUUCUGGAUAGCGUCUCUGUAAGAGUUGGCGGCUAUGUGUUUCUUUUGAGGCGAUGUUUCAAAAAUCUAUUUUAGAAAAAGGUUUUUAUCUAUUUUUGGAGUGUAUUGUGUGGGUGUGCAUGUGCCACAGCCUGUUUGUGGAGUUCGGGUGGCAACUGUUGGGAGUUGGCAUUCAUCUUGCAUCUUCUGGUGAUGGGGAUAGAACUCAUGUCUUCAGGCUUGGUGGCAAGCACCUUUAGUCACCACCACCCUCUCUUGUACUUAGGGGAUUGAAUCUAGAACCUUACACAGGGUCAUUAGACAUUCCACUACUGAGCUAUGUUCUCUAAAUUAUCUAAAAAUCCACUUAGCUUGUAAACCAAGAAACUGUAGAAAUAAAGUUAUUUGGAAGAUAGAAGAAAUCACCAGGCAUCUAACGAGAUUUAGCCAGUGCUGGUUCAAUAUUAGGUACAUAGAGGAAGUUGUACAAUUGUCUUUGGUUUUUAGAGAAGGAAUUGCAGCCACAAGUUGAAUUCUACCCUUGUAUUUAAAGACCGAGUGUCUCUUUUUAUUGGUGUCAGUCAUUUUAUGAGAAGAAACCCACUUUACAAGCUUGCUAAAUGUCACUUCAGUUUGGUGCACAGGCAUCAAUAGAAAAAUUCCCUCUUAUUUUCAGAGGCUAGCAACACAGUCCCCUCCUCCGACAUUUUUGAUGUGCAGUUCUUUAUUGUUCAAAACUGACACUUUGGUAAACAACUCAUUUUUGCACCUGCCGCCUUCCUUUAGCUCAGAUCGUUUUCUUGUUAGCUGACUGUUUUUAAUUGAAGUCUUCAGAUCUCCUUCUAAAGCAGAACCUUUGUUUGCUGACAAGCAGAGCCGGGUAUGAAUGGAGAUUAAUUGCGUGUCACAUACUUCUGUAUCAAACUUGCUGUGUCUUAACAAUCUCUGAUAGUGCGCGGGUCUUUAGAAGAUAGGGAGGAGUCUGAGGUUCCACUGUGAGGUGCUUCACUGGUUAACUGUUUCUUUAAAGCCAUCCCUCCCUUUAAACGUGUAAUUCUGCUCUUGAUUCUGAAGUGGAGGGAAAAAUAUAAAGUGGGAUAUAACCAAUGAUUCUAUUGAAAAGUGGUUAAAAAUAUGUUUUUGAAAGAUUCAUGUGAUGAUAAUAACAUAUUGGCUAUAGGUUUUUGUUUUUAAUGGAAUGCGGUCUCUAUCGUAAAACAGUCAAAUGAUUCUCUGUGUUACAACUUGUGAAUAUUAGACAUCUAAAAUGGCUGUCAAUUUGUUGUCUGGGUCUGGUUAUACGCCUCCUCCCACCACACACUUCUUAAGGUUCACCGUUAGCAGUUAAGAAAUCUGUAGGUCCUUGAUCUCUAUAUAGUCACUCAGUGGGAGGGAGUCACAGGAUAUGAGCUGUGACUGUGGCUGCCACACAGCACGGGGGUGGAGUUUCCCCAGUGAGUUACUGCUUUCAUAAACCAAGUCAGACGCAUUUGCACAGUGAUUUAAUGCCGGCCAUCACAGCCAUAACUUAAACAUUUAUCUAUUUGUAACAAUAGGAGCAUAAAAUGACAGGGACAUUUUUUUGAUAUAAUGUGUUCGCUUUUAAAAAAAUAAAAUAUGCAAGACACUGUGCAAGGUUUAUACCGAGAUUUUUGCAUAAUGAAGGUCUGGAAUUAAUUUUAAGUAUAAAAUUUUAAACAUUUGAAGAUGUCUCAUUUGACGUGGAAGUCCCACUUCUAGGAAUGUGAUAUAGAAAUUAAAUAUAUGUUUAUAUAUUGCAGAUGUCAAUGAGGUGGGAAAAGUAGGUGAUGGUCAAUUGGAUCAUGGGACAUCCAUCUUAGUUUGCAUCAAAAGAACUUGGAGAUCUGUGUGUCUGUCUGACGUCUGUCUAUCUUGGCUUGCAGUAUGUCCAUGGAGUGUUUUUAAGACUAAAAAGAUGUAAUAAACAACAGCACAUAUAAUGAUCCUUUUUCUAUUUGAAACCAAAAAGCCAAAAAAAAAAAAAAAAGUUCCAUAUAUUAUAUAGGUUUGUGUAAGCCUCAGGACAGUGUCCUGUCUCUUAGCAGUUUCUUUUUAAGGACAGAGAGACUCACAGGGGUUAAUGAUUUUUAAUACAUAUAUCUCCAGUUGGUUGAAUUGUGACAAAAGCCAUGUACUACUUCUUUAAUCAAGAAAGAGUGGUUAGAUAGGUUU